GGGGGUGUCUAUAGCGGUAGGGUUCCACCUGAUCCCAUCUCGAACUCAGAAGUUAAGCCUGCCUGCGGCAACGCUAGUACCGAGGAAGCUCGGCGCAAGACAAGCACGAUGCCCCCA
rnacentral:rRNA from 1 species